CCUACGGGUGGCAGCAGUGGGGAAUAUUGCACAAUGGGGGAAACCCUGAUGCAGCGACGCCGCGUGAGUGAAGAAGUAUUUCGGUAUGUAAAGCUCUGUCAGCAGGGAAGAAAAUGAUGGUACCUGACCAAGAAGCCCCGGCUAAAUACGUGCCAGCAGCCGCGGUAAUACGGGGGAUGCAAGCGUUAUCCGGCUGUUUUGGGUUUAAAGGGUGCGUAGGCUGGGAGGUAAGUCAGCGGGGAAAUGCCCCCGCUUAACGGGGUGAAGUGCCAUUGAUACUGCCUUGCUGGAAUGCGGAUGACGUGGGAGGAAUGUGUGGUGUAGCGGUGAAAUGCAUAGAUAUAACACAGAACACCGAUUGCGAAGGCAGCUUACGAGUCCGCGAUUGACGCUGAUGCACGAAAGCGUGGGUAUCAAACAGGAUUAGAUACCCCAGUAGUC
rnacentral:rRNA from 1 species